GGGCCCGUGGCGCAGAGGUCAGCGCAGGGGACUCAUAAUCCCUGGGUCGUAGGUUCGAAUCCUACCGGGCCCACCA
rnacentral:tRNA from 1 species